GACGAACCGUGCGAACGUUGUUCGGAAUCACUGGGCUUAAAGGGUGCGUAGGCGGGUCAUCAAGUCCGGGGUGAAAUCCUCCCGCUCAACGGGAGAAGUGCCUUGGAUACUGAUGGUCUUGAGCGGGGUAGGGGCAUGUGGAACUUCCGGUGGAGCGGUGAAAUGCGUAGAUAUCGGAAGGAACGCCGGUGGCGAAAGCGACGUGCUGGACCCCUUCUGACGCUGAGGCACGAAAGCCAGGGGAGCGAACGGG
rnacentral:rRNA from 1 species